GAUGAACGCUGGCGGCGUGCCUAAUACAUGCAAGUCGAGCGAACGGACGAGGAGCUUGCUUCUCUGAUGUUAGCGGCGGACGGGUGAGUAACACGUGGAUAACCUACCUAUAAGACUGGGAUAACUUCGGGAAACCGGAGCUAAUACCGGAUAAUAUUUUGAACCGCAUGGUUCAAAAGUGAAAGACGGUUUUGCUGUCACUUAUAGAUGGAUCCGCGCUGCAUUAGCUAGUUGGUAAGGUAACGGCUUACCAAGGCAACGAUGCAUAGCCGACCUGAGAGGGUGAUCGGCCACACUGGAACUGAGACACGGUCCAGACUCCUACGGGAGGCAGCAGUAGGGAAUCUUCCGCAAAGGGCGAAAGCCUGACGGAGCAACGCCGCGUGAGUGAUGAAGGUCUUCGGAUCGUAAAACUCUGUUAUUAGGGAAGAACAUAUGUGUAAGUAACUGUGCACAUCUUGACGGUACCUAAUCAGAAAGCCACGGCUAACUACGUG
rnacentral:rRNA from 1 species